CACAAGCAGCGGAGCAUGUGGUUUAAUUCGACGCAACGCGAAGAACCUUACCAGGGCUUGACAUGCACGGGAAUUGCGUAGAAAUACGUAAGCCCUUCGGGGCUCGUGCACAGGUGGUGCAUGGCUGUCGUCAGCUCGUGUCGUGAGAUGUUGGGUCAAGUCCCGCAACGAGCGCAACCCCUGUCCUAUGUUGCCAGCGAGUAAUGUCGGGGACUCAUAGGAGACUGCCGGUGACAAACCGGAGGAGGGUGGGGAUAACGUCAAGUCAUCAUGCCCCUUAUGUUCUGGGCUACACACGUGCUACAUUGGCCGGUACAAAGGGCUGCAAACCCGUGAGGGGGAGCGAAUCCCAAAAAGCCGGUCCCGGUUCGGAUUGAAGGCUGAAACUCGCCUUCAUGAAGGCGGAGUUGCUAGUAAUCGCGGAUCAGCAAUGCCGCGGUGAAUACGUUCCCGGGCCUUGUACACACCGCCCGUCACACCACGAAAGCCGGUAACACCCGAAGCCGGUGUCCUAACCCGCAAGGGAGGGAGCCGUCGAAGGUGGGAUUGGUGAUUGGGGUGAAGUCGUAACAAGGUA
rnacentral:rRNA from 1 species